UACGGGGGGUGCGAGCGUUGUCCGGAAUCACUGGGCGUAAAGGGCGCGUAGGUGGUCUGAUAAGGGUGUGGUGAAAGCCCGGGGCUCAACCCCGGGUCGGCCGUGCCGACUGUUAGACUAGAGUGCUGUAGGGGCAGGCGGAAUUCCGGGUGUAGCGGUGGAAUGCGUAGAGAUCCGGAGGAAGACCGGUGGCGAAGGCGACUUACUGGACACAUAUUGACGCUGAGGUGCGAAAGCGUGGGGAGCAAACAGG
rnacentral:rRNA from 1 species